AAUCGACUGAGUUUCUCAGUUAACAACUGGAGGUGAAGCUUGAAGAGCAAGUGCCCCUGGAACAAAAGCUCUUGUUCUUAGCCCUAGGUGUAAAUGAUUAAAAAGAGAUCUAUAGCCAGAGCAAUGAGGAAGCCAGAGAAAGCUGGCCAGUAAGGGGAAAGAGAAAUGGAGUUUCCCAGCAAGAAGAUUCUGAAGCAUGGGAUGGGGCAGGAAGAGGACCUGCAGUAGCGGCUUCACAAUUUUAACCGAGCCUUGCCUUUUUCUAACUCCGAGAGGACAUCCUUGACAGAUGCCUAGGGCAUCUUCCAGACAACUCCGCCACAGAGACAGUUCUUAGCCUCUUGUCUCCACUGCACAUGGAUGGCUCUUCCCUGCCUAGACGGGCCGUGGGUUCCUGGAUGCUGCAGACACAGGAGAGAAGAACACAGCCGGGGGCUUUCAACUGGUUCCACCUCAGCUAAGGAAGGUCAUUCCUUUGUUUCAGCAUCUGGUUUCAUUUUGUGCUUUCCGAGAAAACACCAUGUGCAGGAGAGAAAAACAUCUCCAUACAUUUCCUCUGACAUAGAGCAAGGUGUGGAAUGGUUGACAGGACCAGGGCUUUCUGUGCUACCACUGGCCACGGGCUCAGGGAACUAGACGCUUCGCUGCGUUGAUGAUACUGCAGCUUUUCUCACGCUCGGAGGUGCAAUGAAAACUGACCACUUCUCUAAUGACUUCCGUAAGCCUCCACACCUCUUUAAGGACUAAGGGGCCGUUUCCUCUUCUAGGUUUAACUCCUUCCAGUGUGUCUAUUCACUGUCGGAUUAGAACGUAUGUCAUGAAUAUUAUACUUGGCGAAUAUAGUGUUGUAUUUUAAUCGUGCUGUCAAGACGAUAUGAGUUCAACACAGGCUCUGUCGUUUUCUAGCUGGAUGACCCUUGUCAAGCUUCAUGGCCUCUUAGAAUUACAUUAGCUUUACAAUGUGUUUAUCAAUAUCUAACUUUUUGCAUGGUGAAAAAACAGUGUGAAAAUAUAUGUAUUCUGUAUAUAUACAUGACUGUAUUAUUACACUGACAUGUUCUAAUUUUUAAAACAGUACAGCCCAACAGUGAGCAUAUUGUUGCUAUAAUGACAGGACAACAGUCAUAAUAUUUAUAGGCCAUCACAUCUCACCAAACACUUUACAUACUUUUUUUUUAAAUUUCAGGCUUAUCACCUGGUGAGUUUGGCAUAGCUAAUAUUUUUAAAUAUUUACUUUAGAAAUUGGAGAUUGGGAAUCAGAGAGGCAAAUUUAAAGUCACACAGUUGAUCCUAUUGUUGAGAGGAGGAUACUGACUGCCCCCCGAAAAGUAACUUGUUGAAAGGAGGAAAACUAGUAAAUAGAGAUGAAAAUUGGCACCCAAUAGAGAUGAGAUAAAUUUGAACCGACAUCAAAUCUCAUGCUCUUUUCAUCACGGCUAAUUAAUUUUAAUUCUUAAUAAAUUUUCUGGUUCAUAUAUCACUUUCUGAGAGAGAUGUGUUAAUAUUUCCAAUUACCAUUUGAGACAUCUUGAGCUGUUCUUUAUUUUCUCAGCAUUAGAAAACAUCCCUCUUCAAAUUUUAUGAUGUUUUUAUUUGCAAGUGUAUUUUGGUAUUAGAAGUUCCAUCAUGGCUUUCUUUUGGCUCAUAUUUGUCUGCUCAUCCCUCAUUAAUUUUGGGGGGGCCCCCACACCCACAGCAUAUGGAAGUUCCCAGGCUAGGGGUCAAAUCUCAGCUAUAGCUGCUGGCCUACACCACAGCAAGGUGGAUCCAAGCUGCAUCUGGGACCUACAUCAUAGCUCACGGCAUGGCCCAGGAUUGAACCCACAUCCUCGUGGAUACUAGUCAGGCUUGUUACCACUGAGCCACAGUGGGACCUUCCUCAUAACAUAUGCUUAAAAGAAUAAACAGGGUGUGACCUCUUUAAGAAUUUUAAUGUAUAUAACCAAAUCACUUUCCAGAAAUUUUGUGCCAAUUUACUGACCAGCAUUUGAUGACAAGGGUUCCUGGUGGCCUAGAAGUUAAGGACUUGACAUUGCCACUGCUGCAGUUUGGAUUACUGCUGUGGCUCAGGUUGGAUCCCUGACCUGUGAACUUCUACAGGCCAGGGACAUGGCCAAAAAAAUUUUGAUGAGAUUUCACUCCAGUGAUUUCACUCUAAUAAUUUUCUAAAAAUUAUUUUUUGCUAAUGUGAAAGAUAGAAAUGUUGUUUCCUUUCUGGUUUAAUUUACAUUUAUUUGAGUACCGGUAAGAUUGUUUAUAUAUGCUAGCUAGUUACAUUUUUCUUAUGCCCAUUUGCCUCUCAAGGUCUUACUCCAUUUAUUACAGUUUUUUAUGAGUUCUUAAUAUGCUAUUUCAAACUAUCUAUUACAUUUCUAACAAAUACCACACUUUCUGAUGCUAAGUUGCCUUUGAUGAGAAGACACAGCAUUACUGUAGUAAUGUGAUAGACUGUAAUCUUGGACUAGAUACUAACUUCCCGAAAAUAACCUCAAUUUCCGUCAUUUAUAAAACAGGCUGUAUAAUACUACCCAGCAGUGUUGUGUGAGGAAAAAAAUGAGAUAAGACUCGGCAUACGGUCAGCACAUGAUAAUUAUCAGUAGUGAUUCUAAUUUUCUUUUGGGUGGAGGUCACAUCUUACCUCUCUCACUUUGGUAUUCGAUGUAAAUCUGAAUUGAGAAGAUACUUAUCAGCUAGCGGUGCCUGAUUUCUCUUAAGAGGACUACCGACACCAAACAAAAAUUUGAACUGAAAUUAGACAAGCUGUACUAUGAGGAAGUCCUGUGGCCAUCCUGUUGCUGUAUAGGCAGUGAUGCUAACAGGCAGGGUCACAGGAGCCUUUGGGACUGUCAUAGCCAGGAAGCCCGGGUGCCAAACAGGCUCCAGAGAGCCUGCUUUCCCACCCAUGACGGGAGCUGUGGACAAGAGAGUUAUGAAUAAGGAUGGAAUCUCCUCAUUGGACCGAAUUCAAAAUGUGCAGUAGCAACUAGAGUUAGGGUAUCUUUGCCAAAAAGAAAUCAAGAAAAACAAUGGACUUUGGAAUUUUCUCUUGAAAUCUACUUCCCAUAGGGACUUUUUUUUUUUUUUUGCUGGCUUGCUCUCCUGUUACCUAUAAAUUUCUCCAUUCACAGAAAAGGGUUAGUAACAGAGAAAAAGAAUACUGCAAUAGUCCCUCAUGUCUCAAUGGCAAUUUAUAGAAGAGGAGAGAAAAUAAGAGAAUUAACUUUUUGUUUCAAUUUUCCAAAAAGAUUUACAUCCUGGAGUAUGGACUCAUGGAGUCAUUGAGCUUAAAGCCAUGAGAGACCUCUGAAAGCACUCAGACAACGACUCUUCCUCUUUCCUCUCCUCCUCCUCCUUCUCCUCCAACUUCUUUUCUGCUUCUCCUUCUUCUAUUUCUCCUGCUUCUCCUCCUCCUUCUCCUUCUCCUUCCUCUUCUUCUUCUUCUGCAGAUGAAGAAACUAAAGUCUCGAAAAGAAAGAGAAGCUAAGUCCCCUGACUCCUGUACUAGUGCUUAGUCUGUACAAUUCUUCACCUGGCAUACGUUGCCCAGUCUUCCUUCAGAGUUCUGCCGUUGUACAAAAGCCUUGCAAUGACCUUCACCCUGUCCAAAAACUUUAUAGCAGGACACUCACCAAAAAACCGUACUAUUUGUAAAUUCCAAUUUCUUCUUAGGCUGAAAGUAUUUCAAGUGGAAAGCAUCAAGCCAUGGUUUUGAAACCAGCACCAAGGUCCCUUUCAAAGGGAUGAGCAUUACAUCUAGUUGCUUAUGGCCGGGACCCCAGACAGACAUCUGUUCUUAUUAUUUGGAGCCUUGGGCCCUCGGAGUUAAGAUUUGUGUCUUGGUAGAACUCAGAGAGAAGGAGAAGCAGCUGCGAAGGCACUGCAGCCAAGGAGAUUAUCUUUGAAGACACUUAUGAGACCCUGCGUGAAAUAAAACCCAGAGAAAUUAUGCUGUUACCCUUCUUUAUGCAAGAACCCAAUGAACAUAUCUGCCACACACUGGGUACAAACUGGAGAAUCAAAGAUGGUGCCCCAAAGGAAGCCAAACAUGCAAGAGUCUGUAAUGCAAUCUGAGAAGCACGGUAACUCACUUGGAUUUGAGAAGUCAGGAACGGCUACAGUGAUGGCAAUGGGUGACCCCAGUUUUGCAGGAGGAGUAAGUUUAGGUGAGCAAGAAGGGAAGGGUGUUCCUGGCAAAGGAAACAGUAAAUUGUGAGUUUCGUUCAUCAGGGCAGUGACCUGUGGCCAAAUUGUGAAGGAUGAGUAGGACUAUGGAGACAAGAUAGGAACGAACAAUCCGGGCAAAGGAAGCAGAGUAGAUCUUGACAGUUUCUCUCCAGUUUCGAUAAGCUCCUGAAGGGCAGGGGCCAUGUGCUGCUCAGUUUUACAGCCCUAAGCCUGGCAGAGAGGGAGAUAUGUGGAGCAAAUGACUGUUGAGUUGAUGAGUGGAUGGAUGUGGGGAGCAGAUACCCUCAUCUUCAGUCUGCAGAACCCAACAAUCUCUCCCAAAUGGGGCCAGAACCUACGCCUUUCUCCAAGCUCCCCUGAACACCUGCAUGGGACAUUUGCCAGACACUAUGACCCUGGGUAACAUCUGGCAGCAGCUGCUUGGCUAUGUGAGACACACCAGUCUGAAGAGGAAGGUACUGUUUUUUAGUUUGGGAGAUCUGCUGGGAAAUGAAGUAAAUCUUCAUAAAGAGAUUACAAUAAGCUGCAGGAUAAAUCAAAUUGUCCCUUAAUAAAAAACAUGGACUGAAGGGGAAUGGGUGAGGGGUAAUGAACAUAUUAAAUUCCCCUUCGAGAGCAGACAGUCUUCCUUUGAUGCUGCUUUUUAAAUUAAGGAUUGCUUUGUAGUAUUGGGACCAAGUCAGCUGUCCUUCUAGCUACGUGGCUGAUGAAAUUCAAGAUGAAUGUGGCUAAAGCUGCCCAGAUCCCUGGUCUCUGAAGCCUUCUCCCGCUUCUGGAAACUAAAGUUUGGGCUAACAAGCCUGUGGUUGUGAGAGCAUUUGGGCAAAUCACUUUCAUCAUGUUGGAUUUUUUCAUAUAAAAAUAAGACAAACAAAUAGUCUUUUUUUUUUUUUCCAACAGAACAACAGGGUAGCACGAUCAAGCAGUAUUCCUAAUUGGUGGACCUGGGCGAAAGUAAAUGGGCAAGGGGGCUCAUUCCAUCCUUCUUUCUACCUGUGGGUGAUUACCAUUUUCCGUAACAAAAUAUAUUUUUAAAAAGAGUUUCGAUGAGUCGUUCGUGGUCUGUAUCUCUUCGUUCUCCAAUUCCACUCUCCAGAGUUAGACAGGAUAACGACAGCCUGGUUAUUGUUGGUCCCCAACCGAGAUGCAAACCCCAUUGGCUACUGAUACUCCAUCUUCCCCUCUCACCCCAACUCCCCCUUCCUCGUCUCCCCCCUAAAUCUCUCCUCGGAGUCUUCCCUGUCAUCCCACGACAUCUUCGUGGAGCCUUUGCUCUUUGCCUUAAGAGGCAUUUGACUCUUUCCCGAGACAAUCAGCGGCCACUUGAAUGACAGUGGCUCCUUUUCCCACAUCCCAGCUGAAACCGUCUAGUCUGAAGAUUAUGUCAAGAUGCUCUUUACUCCCUCCUGUUGCUUUCAGACCAUUUCUUCUCCACACCUUUGAAAAAUCUUUGAUUUCCUGUCACCAAACCUACAAACUUACCUGCAGCUGGGUCCUUCACUUCUGCUCUCUUUUCUCCUGUUUCAAUAUUCCUUCCUGUCCAGGGUUGACCUCUCCACUUGUGCUCUUGGCCUCAUUCCCCUCUCACCUUGGGAGGUACUUUUUUCUCUUAUGUUGCCUCCCUCUCCUGUCCCUUUAAAUGCUUCUUCUCCACAAUGGCUCCUUCCCACCCACGUAGCCUGCUGAACACAGCAAGGGACCCAGUGGGCAAUGAUUAACAACAUAGACUCGGGGCAGGGAACCAGGGACAAUUCCUGACUUCACCCUUUAUAGCCACGUGGCCGUAAAAGGGAGAUCACACGAAUAUCUCCCUUUAUGGGGAUUAAAUUAAUGAAUAUGUGUAAAGCAUUCAGAACAGUGCCCGGCCCAUAGCAAGUCUUAUGGAAGCAUUUGCUUAAUGAUUCAACCUUUUAAAACACGUCUCUCCUUUGAGGCACAAACCAAACAUGCAAACGGUAUGCUGUUCCCAGUUUCCACUUUCCCUUCCAGUCACCACCCUGAGCAGCCAUGCAGCCAUGCGUGUGGGGCUUUGCGACACUUCCCAUCUUCGCGUUCUCAACUUACUGCAGAUGGAAUUCACGAAAUCUAUUCUCACCGAGGGCGAUAUUCACAGCUUCCGAGUGGAAUCCGAGAGCUGCUUUUCAGCGUUUAUUGAUUCGUCGCUAGUGUUUGAGGUCACCAAUCGUCACCCCCCUUGAAAGGCUCCCUUCUGGCUCUAGGACACCAUCAACCUCUUCUGUUUCUCCUCCUAACCAUCCAGCCACUCUGCCUUGGCCCUUUUCCCUUCCCUUUCUUUGGUGCAGUCCCUUACACGUGAUGUCCUCAAGGUUCUGCUCCAGGCUCCCUGGUGACCGCAGGCGCUAGCAAAGCUUUGGUUAUCAUGGCUAUGCGGGUAAUUUUCAACUCUCAAUCUUCCUUCCAGAUCUGGGCUGAGACAUGGAGAGCCAGCUGCCUCCCGGAGAUCAUCACUUGGAUAAGGAGCUUAAACUAGUAAGUUCAAGUGUGUAAGUUCGUGUCCUCCCAGACCUUCCGGACUCUCUGGGGUGCCUGUUUUAGAGAACGGCGCCAGAGCCCACCCUGUCCUCAAGCCCAGAUCCCAGACUUAACUUCUUGGAUGCUCUCCCGCUCUAAUCUGGUGAAUCAUCUGCUGCUCUAAAAUCUUCGAAGUCCCGACUGUUGCUCCCUCCAUGGAAUUUCUCUUAAUUUCUAACCUGCGUGAAUGCACGUGCCUCCCUUGCCUCGUCCCUCCUCCCUGAAGCCAGAGCGAUCUUUCUAAAACACUGAUCCAAUACUCUGUCCCCCUGGCUGAAAGCAUGCCAAUGGCAAUCUGUUGCUCUUCACCCAGCCACCAGGAAGUCACCUGCAGGUCACUUGCACCUGCCACAGAGUUGAUUUUUAAAAAUCCAGGAAUUUUGCAGGCCAGUUAUUAAACUGGGGGCAGCUGAAAUCCGCCAGGAUGGAAACAGUCAUGUUAUAGAAACUGGUCAACCCCCUCCCCCGCCAGAGCUGGUUUACCAGCUCCCUUCACCUACCAGCCUCAUCCCUUAAAACUGCCAAGCUGCAGCUCUGCUCCCCAACCACCCCGAGCUCCUGCCAAUUCCCUCUCACUUCUGCACCCCUGUAGCACCACUGCCUCAGAGGGAACCCCCUCCUCUUCUACAGGCUCUCUCCUCCUCAUUCUGUUUGUAGGUCUUACACAAGUGUUCACCUCCUCAAGGGGACCUUUCUUGAUGUUCUGCCCUCAGAUUGACUGAUGUAUCCUUUCUAUGUGUUCCCACAGCACCCUGUCCUUCAUAAGCCUGUGUCUACCUCUCGGACUUCACAUCAAAAGAGGGCUUGCUAUUUG
rnacentral:lncRNA from 1 species